CCGAGCCCUGGGGGAACAGAGGGCACAGCAAGAGGGACAAAGCCAAGCAAGGUCAGAGACUGGAGAGAGCCAGAGCUGGGAGCAGGAACAGCUGCUCCAUUGCACUCUUGGAGAAAGCUCUUGGCUGGUUCACAGCACUGAAAGCCAUGAAGGACAGAGAGGAGGCCUCACCAAACAAUGCUCCUGUUUCCACAACCUCCCAUCUCUGUGUCCCAGAAGGAAUUGGAUGGACUGUGUUUUUCUCUCCAAGUCGUCUCGUUCAGCAUGAGCAGCUUAGCACCAGGAGCUGAAGGAGCUGAAGCCUCAGGCCACAAGAGCUGAGCAAGAGGAGACUUUCUGAGCAAAUGAGUGCUGCUAACCUGGACCUAACUGAAUUCAGCAGAUAGAAUCCUGGAAUCACAGAAUCCUUUCUGUUGGAAAAGACCUCUGAGCUCAUCCAGUUCAGCUGGUCACCCAGCAGUGCCAAGCCCAGCACUAAACCACAUCCCUGAAGUGCCAAGGCCUGAACAGCAGGCCCUGAGCCAAAGGUGGCCUCUGGAUGAACCUUUCAACCAAAGGUUAUCUUUGUAUCUGCUCAUUAAUGAAAUAUGCAUGGUCAUUAGCAUUGUGAUAGAUGUAGCUGACACAUGUAUUGAUCUUUUUGUAUUUGCAAGCCAGACAGGGCCAUGAAAUCUGACAUCUGGCCUUGUUUGGGGCUGAAGGAUCAAAGUCAGCUCCCUUGGUUCCUCCUUGAGCCCUGGCCAGGCUUUGGGAGGAACCCAAGAGCAGGAUGAAACCAGAUGUUCCCACACCAGAAGUGCUGUCAGUUUGUUCAUUCAGCACUGUCAGAGCUGGGCCCUCUCACAGGCUUGGAGCCUCACCUGUGGCUGGAGGCACCUGCAGGAAUUCCCAGUGUCCAGGAGUGGCUCUGCAGCCCUUGGCUGGGACAGCUUCCCCCGCUGCUGUGUGGAUCUGGGGGAUGCUGAAGUCUGAGGGUAACAGGUGCUGGAUCUUUCUUAAUCACUGCUGCAAUCUUUGGUGGUGAUGGCUGGGUGCAUUGCUGAGCUGCUCCUUUUGUGAUCCUUUGCUGCUUUGAGCUGCAGUAAAUGACACUGAUUCCUUCAGUUGCAGUCUGUGUCUUUGAUGCUGACCCUGCCCACUGGUAAAACAAAACUGGCACAGUCGGGCCAGACGACAAGAAAAUGUCAUUUUUAAAUGUAAAUAUGAGGAAUCAGUGCCAUCAGAAAUUCCCAGAUGGGAAGCCCUUCCCUGGAGUUGGCUGGCUCUGGAGUGGGCUGAGGUCAGAGCAGAUGUGAGCAGUGGGGCAGCUGGUUAAAAGAAGCCGAACCCCUGGAUGUCUUAAAAUGCAUCCAAAAAUUGCAUAUGGAAAAAGGAAAAAAACUUGUGUUUUUGGAAGACAAGGGUGAAUUUUGUUAAAGACACAUUGGAAACAGCACUAACCGAAGGUAAAACUGUUGUUGGAACACUCCCACAUGGAGUGACAGAAGAAGGUUUCAAUCUUGAGCUCAGGUUUGUUUGUGCAAGUGAUAUAAUAAUAAUAAUGAUAUAUAACACAAUAAUCUUUAUUUAUAUCUGUAUAAUUAAAAAUUGAUAAUGUGAAAUAAGGCUGACAAUAAUUUGUCAGCUUUGGCUGCUCACUGUAAACACUAAAUACCCUAGAGAAAAGGACUGGCCAAGACCCAAAUGUCAGUGGUAAACUUUGUGAAUUGUGUACAAUGAAUAAAGGAGGAAGGGAUGAAAUUGGCAUUUUUUUAUAGGAUUUGUUUAUACUGUGAUGCGGAAUGCUUUGUCUGUUACUGUAAAAAAUACAGUGAUUAAGACUGCUGGGUUUUUCAUAUCCCAGACCAUCCACAAGCUGCAGCAUUGGUUGAAUGGGUGAAGGUUUGUUAAAAGAGCAGUUGACAAAAUGAGGAGAUGGGAACCUGUCCCCAUGGAGACCCCAUCUCCCAGAUGUGCUCCAUGCCCUUAACAAUGGCCCACUGGGAAAAUGGAAACCCCCUGGCUGUGCACGGCUGCCCCCAAUUUACAUUAACAAGCUAAAUUGAUUAUUAGAAGAAGUAAAAAAUGAUGCUGUGAAAAUAUCCAAUAGUACAUCCUGUGAGCUCCAAAAAACACAAAUGGGGCUCUGCAGAACCACAUGGCCUUGGAUUAUCUGCUUGCUGGCCAGGGAGGAACCUGGGCUAUUGUAGGACAGGAAUGUUGCAGGGAUGUUUAUCAGUGCUGGGUUUGAGGUCCAGCAAUCAGGAAUCUCCUUGAUAGAAAGAUCAGGAGAAGAGUGGCAGAAAGAAGAAAAUUCUUCCUGGUGGGACUGGCUCCCAAAUUGGAGGCUGCUGUGAAAUGCAUUCAUGGCAGUCACUGUGAUCAUUGCGGUGUGAGCACUUGGUGUGUUAUGGUUCCAUGUUAGAGUUGUUGUGACACCUUGUGCUGGAAAUGGAGUACUGAGAUUUGUCUAAAAAGAGACACAGUCUCAAGAAAAAGUGGGCUGUAAUAAAGAACAUAGAGAAUAACAACUAAUUAGGGCUGUUUUAGUCAGACCCUGCCUGACUGAAGCCUCAACAACAGGCCCUGAGCCAAAGGUGACCUUUAGAUAAACCUUCCAACCAAAUGUUCUAUUUGUAUCUGCUCAUUAAUGAAUCAUUAUUAGCAUUAUGAUUUCUGUAUGUGUUCAUUGGUGAAACAUGGAUUUACCUUUCUGUGUUUGGAAACUGGACAAGGCCCCAUCUGGCUUUGUUUGGGGCUGUGGGAUCAGUCACCUCCCUUGGUUCCUCCUUGAGCCGUGGCCAGGCUUUGGAAGAAGCCAAACAGGACAAUUAAACCAGUUAUUCCCACGCUAGCACUGAUGUCAGCUUGUUUAUUUAACAGUGCAAAAGCUGUGGCCUCUCACAGUGAGGUUGGAGCCUCACUGGCUGCAAAGGUGGAGGCACCUGCAGGAAUUCCCAGUGUCCAGGAGUGGCUCUCCAGUCUGUGGCUGUGAAAGGGUUAAAAGCACUGUGCCCAGGCAUACUUGGGCAAGAAUAAGAGACAUUGCACUCAGUAUGGAUGCUUGCAAAAAUUCAGCCACAAGCUAAAGACACAGGAUGAAACUUGACAAGAAAUAGGGAACAAAGCUGGCAGAAAUGAAGGGCAGAGCUUGCUAAAACCAGUGAGGAAAUUGCUGAAACAGCCAACAAGAGACUGCACAUGCCUAGAGGAGAAAGGUGAAAAGGGCACCGUGAUGAUGUCCAGCCUUCAUCAGGAGACCCCCGAGGAAGACGCGGAGCCUUCCUCAGUGCCACCGCCAGUGUGCACUGCACCUGUGCCUCGUGUAUGCUAAUGAUUGUAAUGAGUACUGAGAAAUCGUUUAUAUAACCACACCUUUUCUGAGGAGAAAUAUGAAUAUGCAUAGAGUAUAACCAUAUAUUGUAAUCUGCUGUGUGCCUGUGUGCGCUGUUAGGAGGAGAUAUCCCUGCACACCCAGCAGGCUGAAUAAAGCAAAUCCCCUCCUUGGGCUUUGUUUGGGAAGUGUCUCUUGGCCCGAUUUGGGGCCAUUCACAUCCAUGGGGUUCUGUCAAGUCACAGUGGAACCUUGGUGCCCUGUUGUUGCACAGCCUCACAAUGCUCUCCUGCUGCCAUGAGGUCCCUCCCUCGGUGACACAGUGCAGCCCUGGUUCCAUGAGGGGCUCUUGGGUGCAGGCCUUUUUCACAUCUGAGCCUUGCUUCCAUGGGUUCCAUGGACUGACAGGGGCCGUCUGCAUUCCAUGGGGCCUAGCUAGAUCACAGCAGAGCCUGGCUUUCAUCAGGUUCUGAUACCUGUUCUGCCAGCUGACAGGGCUGAUUUAAAGAACACAGAAAUCAAUGGGAAGAAUGGUCUUAUUUUACUGUGAGUGUUAAGGCAACACAAAAGUUAAAUUAUGCAUUCAAUAAAACUACCUGCUUGGCUUUAGCAACAAGCAAAAAGAAGCAAGAGUCUGCAGUUGCUGAAAGGUCCCAUUUCACAGCAAGGACCUGGAGAACUCUUCCAAGAGAUUGGGAAAAUCCCAUGUGGUGCAUCCACCCAUAGGUAACUACACAAGAUUAUGUGGAAGUCUCCACAGCAGCUGGUUUGGUUUUAAACAGCAGCAGAAUCAUAUGGGUCAUCUGUUUUUAGCUCAAUAAAACUGAUGGUGUUAGUCACAAAAUGCCCAAGGUUUGUCCUGUAAGUCAGCUCUGGCUGAGGCUGCCACUCAGGCCUGAGCACAUCAGAAGCUGAAGUGACCACGACUGGGAAUGGCAAAAACACCCCACUGGGACUGGCCCAGAGGCCCCAGGACUCCUUGGCAUGGAUCACCUCAGGAGACAGCAUUUCAGGGAGCCCAAAGGACUUUUGGAAGAGAUGCUGUGGAGACAGAAGAAUUCCACAGCUGAAUCCCUUACCUGGGCUCCCAGAGGACCCUUCUGCUGUGGGGCUGCUGAGGGUGGAGGAACAGCAGGUACCCAUGGC